GAUGAAGAACGUAGCGAAAUGCGAUACGUAAUGUGAAAUGCAGAAUUCAGUGAAUCAUCGAAUCUUUGAACGCACAUUGCGCCCCUUGGUAUUCCGAGGGGCAUGCCUGUUCGAGCGUCAUUACACCACUCAAGCUAUGCUUGGUAUUGGGCGUCGUCCUUAGUUGGGCGCGCCUUAAAGACCUCGGCGAGGCCACUCCGGCUUUAGGCGUAGUAGAAUUUAUUCGAACGUCUGUCAAAGGAGAGGAACUCUGCCGACUGAAACCUUUAUUUUUCUAGGUUGACCUCGGAUCAGGUAGGGAUACCCGCUGAACUUAAGCAUAUCAAUAAGCGGAGGA
rnacentral:misc_RNA from 1 species